GGGUAUAUGAUGACAAACCAAUGCCAUGAAGAGAGGUGAUGACGUCAAAUUCAUGCUCAGAAGGGAUACGCUGAGGCCC
ensembl:snoRNA SNORD115 Small nucleolar RNA SNORD115